UGCCCACUGAUAAAUUAUUAAAGGGCUGCAGUAAUUUGACUGUACAAAGGUAGCAUAAUCAUUAGUCAUUUAAUUGGUGACUUGUAUGAAAGAUUGGAUGAAAUAUAAACUGUCUUUAAGGUAUAUUAUAGAAUUUAAUUUUUUAAUUAAAAAGUUAAAAUAAGUAAGAAAGACGAGAAGACCCUAUAGAGUUUUAUUUUUUUUUUAGUUUGUAAUUAUUUAUAAAUAAUUAAGUAUUUAUAUUUAGAAAAAAAUUUUGUUGGGGUGAUAAAAAAAUUAAAUAAACUUUUUUUUUUAUUUUAACAUAGAUAAGUGGUUAAUUGAUCCUUUAUUAAUGAUUAUAAGAAAAAAUUACCUUAGGGAUAACAGCGUAAUUUUUUUUUUUAGUUCAUAUAAGAAAAAGAGUUUGCGACCUCGAUGUUGGAUUAAGAUAAAAUUUAAAUGUAGAAGUUUAAAGUUUUUGA
rnacentral:rRNA from 1 species